rnacentral:rRNA from 1 species
GACGAACGCUGGCGGCGUGCUUAACACAUGCAAGUCGAGCGAUGAAGCUUCCUUCGGGAAGUGGAUUAGCGGCGGACGGGUGAGUAACACGUGGGUAACCUGCCUCAAAGUGGGGAAUAGCCUUCCGAAAGGGAGAUUAAUACCGCAUAAUAUGAGAGAAUCGCAUGAUUUUCUUAUCAAAGAUUUAUUGCUUUGAGAUGGACCCGCGGCGCAUUAGCUAGUUGGUAAGGUAACGGCUUACCAAGGCAACGAUGCGUAGCCGACCUGAGAGGGUGAUCGGCCACAUUGGAACUGAGACACGGUCCAGACUCCUACGGGAGGCAGCAGUGGGGAAUAUUGCGCAAUGGGGGAAACCCUGACGCAGCAACGCCGCGUGGGUGAUGAAGGUCUUCGGAUUGUAAAGCCCUGUUUUCUGGGACGAUAAUGACAGUACCAGAGGAGGAAGCCACGGCUAACUACGUGCCAGCCGCCGCCGAAA